GGGCCCGCACAAGCGGUGGAGUAUGUGGUUUAAUUCGAUGCAACGCGAAGAACCUUACCAGGGCUUGACAUCCUGCGAACCUCUGUGAAAGCGGAGGGUGCCUUCGGGAACGCAGUGACAGGUGGUGCAUGGCUGUCGUCAGCUCGUGUCGUGAGAUGUUGGGUUAAGUCCCGCAACGAGCGCAACCCACGUCUUUAGUUGCCAGCAUUUAGUUGGGCACUCUAGAGAGACCGCCGGUGACAAACCGGAGGAAGGUGUGGAUGACGUCAAGUCAUCAUGCCCCUUACGUCCUGGGCUACACACGUACUACAAUGCUACGGACAAAGAGCAGCAAGUUCGCGAGGACAAGCAAAUCUCAUAAACCGUGGCUCAGUUCAGAUCGUAGGCUGCAACUCGCCUACGUGAAGGAGGAAUCGCUAGUAAUCGC
rnacentral:rRNA from 1 species